rnacentral:rRNA from 1 species
CCUACGGGUGGCAGCAGUGGGGAAUAUUGCACAAUGGGGGAAACCCUGAUGCAGCAACGCCGCGUGAGCGAAGAAGGCCUUCGGGUCGUAAAGCUCUGUCCUAAGGGAAGAAGCAUGACAGUACCUGACUAAGAAGCCCCGGCUAACUACGUGCCAGCAGCCGCGGUAAUACGUAGGGGGCAAGCGUUAUCCGGAAUCACUGGGUGUAAAGGGUGCGUAGGCGGUAGGGCAAGUCAGAUGUGAAAGCCCGGGGCUCAACCCCGGGAUUGCAUUUGAAACUGUCUUACUAGAGUGCAGGAGAGGAAAGCGGAAUUCCUAGUGUAGCGGUGAAAUGCGUAGAUAUUAGGAAGAACACCAGUGGCGAAGGCGGCUUUCUGGACUAUAACUGACGCUGAGGCACGAAAGCGUGGGGAGCGAACAGGAUUAGAUACCCCAGUAGUC